AUACGGAGGGUGCAAGCGUUACUCGGAAUCACUGGGCGUAAAGCGCGCGUAGGCGGGUUGGCAAGUCAGAUGUGAAAUCCUACAGCUUAACUGUAGAACUGCAUUUGAAACUGCUAACCUAGAGUAUGGGAGGGGGAGAUGGAAUUAGUGGUGUAGGGGUAAAAUCCGUAGAUAUCACUAGGAAUACCGAAAGCGAAGGCGAUCUCCUGGAACAUAACUGACGCUAAGGCGUGAAAGCGUGGGGAGCAAACAGGAUUAGAAACCCUAGUAGUCC
rnacentral:rRNA from 1 species